AUUGAACGCUGGCGGCAGGCCUAACACAUGCAAGUCGAACGAGUGGCGGACGGGUGAGUAAUGUCUGGGAAACGGCCUGAUGGAGGGGGAUAACUACUGGAAACGGUAGCUAAUACCGCAUACCAUCAGAUGUGCCCAGAUGGGAUUAGCUUGUUGGUGGGGUAACGGCUCACCAAGGAGACGAUCCCUAGCUGGUCUGAGAGGAUGACCAUCACCAUUGAAACUUAGAAACGGGCCAGACUCCUACGGGAUGCAUCAGUGGGGAAUAUUGCACAAUGGGCGCAAGCCUGAUACAGCCAUGGCGCGUGUAUGAAGAAGGCCUUCGGGUUGUAAAGUACGUUCAGCGGGGAGGCGUUACCCGCAGAAGAAGCACCGGCUAACUCCGUGCCAGCAGCCGCGGUAAUUC
rnacentral:rRNA from 1 species